rnacentral:tRNA from 1 species
CGGAGUGUGGUGUAACGGCUAACAUGCCUGCUUUGGGAGCAGGUGACUCCGGGUUCGAAUCCCGGCACUCCGACAA